rnacentral:rRNA from 1 species
UGGGGAAUAUUGGGCAAUGGACGCAAGUCUGACCCAGCAACGCCGCGUGAAGGAAGGAGGCUUUCGGGUUGUAAACUUCUUUGACAGGGGAAGAGCAGAAGACGGUACCCUGAAAACAAGCCACGGCUAACUACGUGCCAGCAGCCGCGGUAAUACGUAGGUGGCAAGCGUUGUCCGGAUUUACUGGGUGUAAAGGGCGUGCAGCCGGGCCGACAAGUCAGAUGUGAAAUCCCGAGGCUUAACCUCGGAACUGCAUUUGAAACUGUUGGUCUUGAGUAUCGGAGAGGUCAUCGGAAUUCCUUGUGUAGCGGUGAAAUGCGUAGAUAUAA